CCUACGAGAGGCAGCAGUGAGGAAUAUUGGUCAAUGGACGCAAGUCUGAACCAGCCAUGCCGCGUGCAGGAAGACGGCUCUAUGAGUUGUACACCGCUUUUGUCCGAGGGCAAACGCAGAUACGUGUAUCUGUCUGAAAGUAUCGUACGAAUAAGGAUCGGCUAACUCCGUGCCAGCAGCCGCGGUAAUCCGGAGGAUUCAAGCGUUAUCCGGAUUUAUUGGGUUUAAAGGGUGCGUAGGCGGUCGGAUAAGUUAGAGGUGAAAUCCCGAGGCUCAACUUCUGAAUUGCCUCUGAUACUGUUUGGCUAGAGAGUAGUAGCGGUAGGCGGAAUGUAUGGUGUAGCGGUGAAAUGCUUAGAGAUCAUACAGAACACCGAUUGCGAAGGCAGCUUACCAGGCUACUUCUGACGUUGAGGCACGAAAGCGUGGGGAGCAAACAGGAUUAGAUACCCGUGUAGUC
rnacentral:rRNA from 1 species